rnacentral:tRNA from 1 species
GCGUCCGUAGCUCAAUUGGAUAGAGCGUUGGCCUCCGGAGCCAAAGGUUUCGGGUUCGACUCCCGACGGGCGCACGA